ensembl:lncRNA
UUAGAGAUCUCACUGCUGCCCUAUAUCGUCUAUGACCAGGACCACUGCUGACUAGAGGGAAGUAUAAUACUUAAUGUAGCAAACUUUUUAACGACUGGUAAGGGGAGUGAACUAGCCUCAGACAGCUCCUGCUGCAGCCGAGUUAAUUGCAGCUUUUUAGAGGGUCUGAGAUGAAAGACGGCGGACGAAAGCCCCCCCUAAAUAGGGUCAAGCGAUGCCUGUGGGACACACUGAGUAAUGAGACUUUGAAAAGUAAUGAUUAACUCUGAAUAAAUGCAGAAAUCGCAGUCGUCGUAACACUCCUGCAUACAAGAAACAUGGUUAGCCUACCGCAAAUGCGAACUAAUAAAACUAAAUUUUUACGACCAAGUAAGACAGGUGGAAGUAAAAGUAUGCAGAUUAUGUGAAUACAAGAGCAAAGUGUAGUGCUGCCGGAGAGAGGUGGAGGUACCAGCUGCAGGCCUGGAGAGCUGGAUAGAGUCCUCAGUGCCGUAAUGAGCCCAGGUCUGUGGUGCAGUCAUCAGAGCAGGAUCUGUAAUGAGCCACAGUCUCGGGUGGAGGCCCAGUUUGGUGGGGUUUGUGUAAAAGUGUAUGUCUGCGUGUGUUUAUGUCAGAGAGACUGAAAAAAGUAGAGCUCGAAAGAGAGAGAGAAUGUUCCCAGCUCCCCCCUGGUGACAGCGAUGGGCCAGUGCCAUGGCCGCGGCGCUGGGAGGAAGCUGAGGCUCUGCAUUAUUAAUGUGCGCCGCGGCGUCCUCGCCUCUUCCCAGCCGCACAGCUCACUGCCCGUCCUGCCAUCACAGAGGGAGAGAGAAAAAGAGUGAGAGAGUGAGAGAGAGGGUGUGGAAGAGCGAGAGGAAGAGGGAGAAGAGGAGAGGCUCCAGCGCUGUGGGAGGCAGAGUGCCUGAGGGCCCAGGCCUGUGGCUGAGGGUGAGGCGUGAAUGAGCAAACCCAAUGAGCUGCUGCAGUGGAGGAAGACACGUCACCAUCGCUGUGGAGAUCUCCAAGUUAACACACCCCACAACUGUACAUAACAAUACACCUCAAAACCAUAACACACAAUAUCUGCAAGCUGUUUCAUAAAUUGGCGAGUUUCUCCUUGAAACACUGCACCAGAAUAUGUUCACAUCUGAUGAGCUGACAGAUGUCCCCUCAGACAGGUACCUGUCUCGUAAACAAUGACAGGCGGGGAUUGUUUUAUUACAGUACAUGCAUGAGGCAUGUAUUGCCUAGGGUGCAUAUGGUAGAUAUAUAUACGUACAUCCUAUAAGGGCACAUGACACUCUAGUGUAUGAACUUCCAAUAAAAUAAGAUUGACACAUUUCUACCCA